CUUACAAAAAUGAGUUUAGACUGUCUGUAGAAUGUCUAUAGACUUCUUCUAGACAACUUUGCCUUUCUAUAGAUUUGUUCUUUUGUUGAUAAAUAAUCUAUAGACUGUCUAUAGACAAAAGUUGAUAAGAUUUUUAUUUCUUUUUGUCUACUCGCAUUCUAUAGACAGUCUAUAGAAAAAAGUCAAUAAGGUGUUUGUUUCUUCUUGUCUACUUGCUCUCUAUAGACUAUCUAUAGAAAAAAGUCGAUAUAGACUCUAUUUAUUCUUGUUCAUUCAUUGUCUAUAGACUGUCUAUAGACAAAAGUUAAUAAGAUUUUUAUUUCUUUUUGUCUACUCCCAUUCUAUAGUCGGUCUACAGAAAAAAGUCGAUAAGAUGUCUGUUUAUUUUUGUCUACUUCCUCUCUAUAGACUAUCUAUAGCAAAAAGUCGAUACAGUUUCUAUUUAUUCUUACUCAUUCAUUGUCUAUAGACUGUCUAUAGACAAAAGUUAAUAACAUUUUUAUUUCUUUUUGUCUACUCCCAUUCCAUAGUCGGUCUACAGAAAAAAGUCGAUAAGAUUUUUGCUUAUUUUUGUCUACUUCCUCUCUAUAGACAACCUAUAGAAAAAAAUUCGAUACGGUCUCUAUUUAUUCUUGUCCAUUCAUUGUCUAUAGACUGUCUAUAUACAAAAGUUAAUAAGAUCUUUGUUUCUUUUUGUCUACUGCCAUUAUAUAGUCGGUCUACAGAAAGAAGUCGAUAAGUUGUUUGUUUCUUAUUGUGAUCUUCCACUCUAUAGACUACGUAUAGACCAAAGUCGAUACCGUGUCUAUUUAUUGUUGUUCAUUCUGUGUCUAAGGACUGUCUAUAGGCGACAGUCGAUAAGGUGUUGAUUAUUUUGUAUACGCCCGGUUUAUAGAUUUUCUAUAGGCGAAAGUUGAUAAGGUGUCUACUUUUAUCUAUUCCCCGUCUAUAAAUUUAGUCUUGACAAAAGUCGUUAAAUUGUAUUUUUUGUCUAUAUUAGCGGUCUAUACGCCGUUUAUAUGCAAAAUUUUUUCUGUUUGCUAUUUCUUUAGCCGAUGCCAGUUUAUAGAAUGUCUACAGAGAAAAGCAAUAAAGGUCACCAUGGCAUCUCUGUCAUUUAAUUACGCAGUCCUUAAUUGUUAUUUUACCAGAUGAUUAGGUGUUUAAGAGUGUGCUAGCUCGCCGAGUUUCAUCCAGUAUUGCACUGGUUGUUAACAUGUAACCUCUGGGCCCGGCACCUAUAGUUAGUCGGGAAUGCAUCCCCAACGAUAAUUUUUCCUUGCGAACCACACGGAGGCGGCAUAUAUACUUCUAUGUGAUUGAAAUUAUUUUUAAUGGCUUCCUAUAUCCCCCCCCCCCCCCCCGGUGAAGGCUAUAGGGUGGGAUAUCACCAAAGAUCAUGUUAACUCGAGCGAACAGACCGUAUACCGAUUGCGGUAUGCUGUGAGAUGAACUAAAGGACAGGCGAUAUUGUAAAAGUGUUAUUGCUUCAGGUUUACUUGCCGUCUAUAGACAAGAGUCGUUAAACUCGGCCCAACCCGUGUACGCUGUAACCAAGCGGAGUUACAGGCGGAUAAUACGGAGCUACGUUUGAUAUAAGCCACUGGGAUUGAAUAUACUGCUGACAUUUCUUUAAAGCCUUCUUGUAGAGUUUAUUAUAGACAUGGUGUAUAUACUUCCGCAUUUGUUCACCACAUUAUAUGACCUCCGUAGUCGCUCUCGGCAAUCCCAAGACAGUCUUUACAGUUGUUUUUCAUAGCAUUACUUUUGCGGCAGUAAAAUAAAGAAAGUAAAAUGCCGAUCCAAUCAUGUAAAUAGGGGUUAUGAAUGCCAGUUUUAGCGAGAAGCGGAUUACAAACAGGCAUCAUGCUAACAGCACAGAGACUUGUAAUGUGUACAGCUGACAACGCAGAAUUUGCUAGUGUGCGAUGAACCGAUGUCGUGUAUGUGGUGUGCGCCUUAUGUGUCGUCUGAUUCUCAAAUACUCUUUAGGUUCUCCCCAUAUCUAGGCUGCAUCACCAACAUCGGGUGGUUUUUCGCAGACUGAUAUCCCGCGCUAUAAAUUCAUUAAAGCUUCUCGUUCACUUACAAUGUGCGCUGAUACUCUGAGCCCACCCAGUCCUUUCCAGGCGCUAUAUGCCUGUGCGGCCGAGCAUAUGCGUACGUCAUUAGUGUAUUGAUUGCUUUGACAUAUCACCAGAACAGACUGCACUAACAUGUGCGCAGCUAGGUAUCCCAUUUGGCGGUACGUUGAAAGCUAUGCUAGAAAUGCACUACAUUACUCAUCGUCGCUGGCCAUAAUGCUAGCGCCUGACGUGCGUGCUAACGGUUUUUACAAACACUGCGUUCAUCCAAGUGUGCACUCCUGCUCCAUGCGAUAGCCCACAGCGCUUGUAAUACAGCGCGCCAAGGCAUUUCCUUCUUCCAUGGAAACAACUGAAAAAUGGAAGGUUAAAGCAACCGGUUUCGCGCGCAUGGAACGCAGAGAGAGAGAGAGAGAGAGCGACAAUAAAAAAAAAGAAAAGAAACGGGCAAAGGCGCUCAGAUUUCUCGGAGCACGUACGCCGUCGCCGGCUGCAGCGCCUGCGCAUGCGCAGCGGCAGCAACGGCGGCGCGCCAUCUCUCCGCGUCGAUUUGAAUUCUCAACGGCUGCGCCAGGCAAGUCAACGCUUGUUGCUGCUGGUGAGCUGCCUGCACCUUGGUGUCUGUGUAUUCGUCUCGACUUUGUGGCAUCACACGUCAACUACACUGAACGCGGGUGUCAUAGACUGCCAGGGAAUUUUCAUGAAAACAGCCAGGGAAAGCUUGGAAAAACAUCAGGGAAAUUGAAAAUGACAACAUAGCAUGCACCUGCAGCACCUUCGGAACGGCUGACACGAAGGUCAAGGCCAGCCAGGCAACCGUGCUUGCCAAGGGGAAGCAGCUUUAAAUAUGUAAAUAUUCUCUUUUGAUGAUAGCAUAAGACAUGCAUUUUAAUAAAUUAAUGUAUUAUAUUGUUCAAUAAAAACAGUUAAUUCAAUAUCGGUGCACUUGUUUUCUUUUUUGCACUACAUGAGUCUGCACUUGUGGAAUUGCUUGAAAUAUUUCUUUCUGCUACAUAUGAGAGUACAGCUGGUUCAGGAUCAUUAUUAAUCUAUUAACAUGAAUGCAUAAAUGCAGAUGGGAAGCAACAGGUGCACAUGCAUAAUAUACGUUCAAAAUUGUGUUGCCGCCAUAUGUAAACAAAAAUUUUAACUACCUUGUAGAUAGAUUUCAUUCAAGCGAAUGCAUUGCAUGCGACUAAACUUUCUUCAAUGUGCAAUUACACAAAUGCUCAUGCAGCUUUACAUAAUGAUUCACGGCUGCAUACAUUUUAGAUUUUUGACUGCUUCCAUCUGCAUGCAUGCUUUUCUAUG